rnacentral:lncRNA from 1 species
CUGGAGAGUUGAAAGCAGUUUCCUGGUGGUGGUGGUGGUGGUGGAUUUGAAACUUAUUGGAGCAAUGUGCCUUUAAGGUGAUGUCAUGCAAACAACAUGGUGGUGUGUGGGUGUCUUAACGCGUCGGAUUUUUGCUGGCUAACUCAGAAGCCUGGUGGUCUCUCUGGCUGUUUAUCAUUAUAGAUGGUGAGGUUAACUCUUCACAGCCCGCACUGCUUACAGCCUGCGUUGGGCAUAAUCAGUAUCGCUACCUCCCUCGGGAUGUGAACUCCCCAAGGAAGACAAAGAGGGAAUCCCAAGAGCGGCAGAUCCUGUCCACUGUUGACUCCACCACAACCGCACUGCUCAUUGUAAUAGAAAAC